CAAGAGCUAUUUAAAGUUUGGCUUUUCACUCGCAUGCACAGCGCAAAGAAGCAGGAAUAUAGGAGCACCGGCCCUGGGUUUCAGUGUUCUCCAUAUUAUGCUGUAAAUUCAUUUUCUGGCAGCUGACUGUCACUGGAAACUAUUAUCAUAUGAACUCAGAUUCUGAUCUGCCCUACACCUUCAUGGAAAUGUGUUACGAGAAUGAAGACCCCAUAAAAUGUCCAUUCAAUGACAAGAGAUC